rnacentral:rRNA from 1 species
UACGUAGGGGACAAGCGUUAUCCGGAUUUAUUGGGCGUAAAGCGUGUGUAGGCGGUUUACUAAGUUUAAGAUCAAAGCCCGAGGCUCAACCUCGGUUCGUCUUAAAAACUGGUAGACUUGAGUGUGGUAGAGGUAAGUGGAAUUUCUAGUGUAGCGGUUAAAUGCGUAGAUAUUAGAAGGAACACCAGUGGCGAAGGCGACUUACUGGGCCAUUACUGACGCUGAGACACGAAAGCGUGGGGAGCAAAUAGG